rnacentral:rRNA from 1 species
UACAGAGGUCCCAAGCGUUGUUCGGAUUCACUGGGCGUAAAGGGUGCGUAGGCGGUGAGGUAAGUUUGACGUGAAAUCUCCGGGCUCAACCCGGAACUGCGUUGAAUAACUAUCUCGCUAGAGGAAUGGAGGGGAGGACUGGAAUAACUUGGUGUAGCAGUGAAAUGACGUAGAUAUCAAGUGGAACACCAGUGGCGAAGGCGAGUCUCUGGACAUUUCCUGACGCUGAGGCACGAAAGCCAGGGGAGCAAACGGG